AUUGAACGCUGGCGGCAGGCCUAACACAUGCAAGUCGAGCGGAUGAAGGGAGCUUGCUCCUGGAUUCAGCGGCGGACGGGUGAGUAAUGCCUAGGAAUCUGCCUGGUAGUGGGGGAUAACGUCCGGAAACGGGCGCUAAUACCGCAUACGUCCUGAGGGAGAAAGUGGGGGAUCUUCGGACCUCACGCUAUCAGAUGAGCCUAGAUCGGAUUAGCUAGUUGGUGGGGUAAAGGCCUACCAAGGCGACGAUCCGUAACUGGUCUGAGAGGAUGAUCAGUCACACUGGAAAUGAGACACGGUCCAGACUCCUACGGGAGGCAGCAGUGGGGAAUAUUGGACAAUGGGCGAAAGCCUGAUCCAGCCAUGCCGCGUGUGUGAAGAAGGUCUUCGGAUUGUAAAGCACUUUAAGUUGGGAGGAAGGGCAGUAAGUUAAUACCUUGCUGUUUUGACGUUACCAACAGAAUAAGCACCGGCUAACUUCGUG
rnacentral:rRNA from 1 species